UUUCUAUAUAAGCCUUGUUCUAUGGAAAGCGGCUGAAGACUUCGAGAUAGCUGGAAGGCACUCCAACGAAGAGCUACGAAAUCUUGUAAAUUACACACCUGAAGAUCUGGGACCCAGGAAAAAAAGGCCCAGACACCAGCUAGCCCAAUAGAGCAACAGGUAGCAAACGGCGUAAGCUGUAAGUGAGGUUAUGUAGAGAUAGUAGUAAUGACAGAUCACAGUGGUACAUGGGGGGCUCACUCAUAUUGACUUGCGCGGAACCAAGUUUUUGGUCUGAGGGUUUCGCCACCUUGCUUCGCCCACGCGAAACAGACCUCAAUAUGACGAGUACAGGACAGUUUUCAGUUACGAGUGACAAGGCGUCCACAAAGGCGUCUAAUCGAUGUAAUCGAUAGCAUUGAUGUAAACAACCUUAGUGCCGGCAUUGUUUCUUGCUUUCUACAAGUGUUUUAUGAAAUUUAUUAAAAAAUGAGUUCAAUUCUGCAACGUUGCUGUGUACCUCAGUGCGAUGAUACAUCUUCAAAGCGGUGUGCACUUCCUAGAAAUGAAAAGUUGAGAAGCAUUUGGAUCAGGCGGACUG